GAGCUGAUCCAGCACAGCAGGAGGAACAGAGUUACCGGCCUCAGACUGCAGGAGGCGCUCACACUGAACCUGCCUCAACAUCAGGAACACCACAGGAUGCUCUGGAGAGACACUAAGAACCUGAGAUAGGAAGGAGGAGUCCACGGACACGGAGUAAGCGAAGCAGAGUGGGAGUUUUUGAGAGCCGAGCUACACUCUACAUAGGAAACUGCGGAAUUGGCAGCAGAUUGAAGAAAGCAUUGAGAGCGACCGAAAGCAUGUAUUGGAGCAACUCUACAGAAUUUUGGUCCUUCAGGAGCAGGAUUGGACACCCCUGCACUACAGACACACCCAAAGCGUAACAGCUCGUGUUUUGAGCAUAUGAGAGCCAUAGAUGGAUACUAGACAGAUGGUGCCAUGAAACGGGCACAAUGUUCUGCUCUAAAGCCCUUGAAUCUGUCUGUGUCUGCACCUGCGUCCGAGAGCCGAGGAGAGACGAAUCAAUAGGGGACAGCGUGACACAGAAACGGAGAGUGUGCAUAUGUGUGCGUACCUGGG